rnacentral:rRNA from 1 species
UGCGUAGGCGGACUAAUAAGUCAGUGGUGAAAUCUUUCGGCUUAACCGAGCAACUGCCAUUGAAACUGUUAGCCUUGAGUUCGGUUGAGGUAGGCGGAAUGUGUAAUGUAGCGGUGAAAUGCUUAGAUAUUACACAGAACACCAAUUGCGUAGGCAGCUUACUAGACCGAAACUGACGCUGAGGCACGAAAGCGUGGGUAGCGAACAGGAUUAGAUACCCUGGUAGUCC